GUCCUAGCCGUAAACGGUGCUUGCUUGCUGUAAGAGGAAUCGACCCCUUUGUGGCGAAGCUAACGCGAUAAGCAAGCCGCCUGGGAAGUACGGUCGCAAGAUUAAACUCAAAGAAAUUGACGGGGCCUGCACAAGCGGUGGAGUAUGUGGCUUAAUUCGAUGCAACGCGAAGAACCUUACCUGGCCUUGACAUGCACAUAGUAGAAGCCUGAAAGGGUGACGAGGUAGCAAUACCAGUGUGCACAGGUGCUGCAUGGCUGUCGU
rnacentral:rRNA from 1 species